GACGAACGCUGGCGGCGUGCCUAAUACAUGCAAGUAGAACGCAGUUGCGAACGGGUGAGUAACGCGUAGGUAACUGCCUCAUAGCGGGGGAUAACUAUUGGAAACGAUAGCUAAUACCGCAUACUUUGAGAUGGACCUGCGUUGUAUUAGCUAGUUGGUGAGGUAAAGGCUCACCAAGUCGACGAAACAUAGCCGACCUGAGAGGUUGAUCGGCCCCACUGGGACUGAUACACGGUCCAGACUCCUACGGAGGGCACCAGUGGGGAAUAUUGCACAAUGGGCGCAAGCCUGAUGCAGCCAUGCCGCGUGUAUGAAGAAGGCCUUCGGGUUGUAAAGUACUUUCAGCGGGGAGGCGUUACCCGCAGAAGAAGCACCGGCUAACUCCGUGCCAGCAGCCGCGGUAAUAC
rnacentral:rRNA from 1 species